rnacentral:tRNA from 1 species
UCGGGAGUCGUCCAAAGGUAGGACAUCGCACUUUGGCUGCGAGAAUGAGGGUUCGAAUCCUUCCUCCCGAG